GUUUGAUCGUGGCUCAGGAUGAACGCUAGCGGCGCGCUUAAUGCAUGCAAGUCGAGCGAUGAGGGGUCCUUCGGGACUUACAUCAGCGGCAGACGGGUGAGUAACACGUAGGUGACCUGCCCCCGAGACCGGGAUAACGGGUGGAAACACACGCUAAUACCGGAUAUAUUCCUGGGGUCGAAGCCAGGAAGAAAGCUCCGGCGCUUGGGGAGGGGCCUGCGGCCCAUCAGCUAGUUGGUGCGGUAACGGCGCACCAAGGCGAAGACGGGUAGGGGGUGUGAGAGCACGACCCCCCACAAUGGGACUGAGACACGGCCCAUACUCCUACGGGAGGCAGCAGCAGGGAAUAUUGCGCAAUGGGCGAAAGCCUGACGCAGCGACGCCGCGUGAAUGAAGAAGGCCUUCGGGUUGUAAAAUUCUUUUCUGGGGGAAGAGGAAGGACGGUACCCCAGGAAUAAGCGUCGGCUAACUACGUGCCAGCAGCCGCGGUAAUACGUAGGACGCGAGCGUUAUCCGGAUUUAUUGGGCGUAAAGCGUCUGUAGGCGGCCGAGUAAGUUGGGCGUGAAAGCUCCGGGCUCAACCCGGAGAGGCCGUUCAAUACUGCUCGGCUAGAGGGGGUCAGAGGGGCGUGGAAUUUCCGGUGUAGCGGUAAAAUGCGCAGAUAUCGGAAGGAACACCAGUGGCGAAGGCGGCGCCCUGGGGCCGCCCUGACGCUGAGAGACGAAAGCUAGGGGAGCGAACAGGAUUAGAGACCCUGGUAGUCCUAGCCCUAAACGAUGGAUGCUAGGUGUGGGGCCGAGAAGGCUCUGUGCCGCAGCUAACGCGAUAAGCAUCUCGCCUGAGGACUACGGCCGCAAGGUUAAAACUCAAACGAAUUGACGGGGACCCGCACAAGCAGCGGAGCGUGUGGUUCAAUUCGAUACAACGCGAAGAACCUUACCGGGGUUUGACAUGUAGAUGAAUUAUACAGAGAUGUAUAAGCUUUUCGGAGCGCCUGCACAGGUGCUGCAUGGCUGUCGUCAGCUCGUGUCGUGAGAUGUUGGGUUAAGUCCCGCAACGAGCGCAACCCUUGUCUCUAGUUACCAGCGGGUUAUGCCGGGGACUCUAGAGAGACAGUCGGUGAUAAGCCGGAGGAAGGUGGGGAUGACGUCAAGUCCUCAUGGCCCUUACGUCCCGGGCUACACACGUGCUACAAUGGCCGGUACAGCGAGUCGCAAUACCGCAAGGUGGAGCCAAUCUCUGAAAACCGGUCUCAGUUCGGAUUGCAGUCUGUAACUCGACUGCAUGAAGCCGGAAUCGCUAGUAAUCGUGGAUCAGCAUGCCGCGGUGAAUACGUUCCCGGGCCUUGUACACACCGCCCGUCACGCCAUGGAAGUUGGCAGUACCCGAAGCCGGUGUCCUAACCUCGCC
rnacentral:rRNA from 1 species